AUUGAACGCUGGCGGCAGGCUUAACACGUGCAAGUCGAGCGGGGGAAGGUAGCUUGCUACUGGACCUAGCGGCGGACGGGUGAGUAAUGCUUAGGAAUCUGCCUAUUAGUGGGGGACAACAUCUCGAAAGGGAUGCUAAUACCGCGUACGUCCUACGGGAGAAAGCAGGGGAUCUUCGGACCUUGCGCUAAUAGAUGAGCCUAAGUCGGAUUAGCUAGUUGGUGGGGUAAAGGCCUACCAAGGCGACGAUCUGUAGCGGGUCUGAGAGGAUGAUCCGCCACACUGGGACUGAGACACGGCCCAGACUCCUACGGGAGGCAGCAGCGGGGAAUAUUGGACAAUGGGGGGAACCCUGAUCCAGCCAUGCCGCGUGUGUGAAGAAGGCCUUAUGGUUGUAAAGCACUUUAAGCGAGGAGGAGGCUCUUUUGGUUAAUACCCAAGAUGAGUGGACGUUACUCGCAGAAUAAGCACCGGCUAACUCUGUGCCAGCAGCCGCAGUAA
rnacentral:rRNA from 1 species